AGAGUUUGAUCCUGGCUCAGGACGAACGCUGGCGGCGCGCCUAACACAUGCAAGUCGAACGAGCGAGAGAGAGCUUGCUUUCUCGAGCGAGUGGCGAACGGGUGAGUAACGCGUGAGGAACCUGCCUCAAAGAGGGGGACAACAGUUGGAAACGACUGCUAAUACCGCAUGACACAUAGAUGUCGCAUGGCAUUUAUGUCAAAGAUUUAUCGCUGAAAGAUGGCCUCGCGUCUGAUUAGCUAGUUGGUGAGGUAACGGCCCACCAAGGCGACGAUCAGUAGCCGGACUGAGAGGUUGAACGGCCACAUUGGGACUGAGAUACGGCCCAGACUCCUACGGGAGGCAGCAGUGGGGAAUAUUGCACAAUGGGGGAAACCCUGAUGCAGCGACGCCGCGUGGAGGAAGAAGGUCUUCGGAUUGUAAACUCCUGUUGUUGGGGAAGAUAAUGACGGUACCCAACAAGGAAGUGACGGCUAACUACGUGCCAGCAGCCGCGGUAAAACGUAGGUCACAAGCGUGUCCGGAAUUACUGGGUGUAAAGGGAGCGCAGGCGGGAAGACAAGUUGGAAGUGAAAUCUAUGGGCUCAACCCAUAAACUGCUUUCAAAACUGUUUUUCUUGAGUAGUGCAGAGGUAGGCGGAAUUCCCGGUGUAGCGGUGGAAUGCGUAGAUAUCGGGAGGAACACCAGUGGCGAAGGCGGCCUACUGGGCACCAACUGACGCUGAGGCUCGAAAGUGUGGGUAGCAAACAGGAUUAGAUACCCUGGUAGUCCACACCGUAAACGAUGAUUACUAGGUGUUGGAGGAUUGACCCCUUCAGUGCCGCAGUUAACACAAUAAGUAAUCCACCUGGGGAGUACGACCGCAAGGUUGAAACUCAAAGGAAUUGACGGGGGCCCGCACAAGCAGUGGAGUAUGUGGUUUAAUUCGACGCAACGCGAAGAACCUUACCAAGUCUUGACAUCCCUUGACGAUGCUGGAAACAGUAUUUCUCUUCGGAGCAAGGAGACAGGUGGUGCAUGGUUGUCGUCAGCUCGUGUCGUGAGAUGUUGGGUUAAGUCCCGCAACGAGCGCAACCCUUAUGGUCAGUUACUACGCAAGAGGACUCUGGCCAGACUGCCGUUGACAAAACGGAGGAAGGUGGGGAUGACGUCAAAUCAUCAUGCCCUUUAUGACUUGGGCUACACACGUACUACAAUGGCGUUAAACAAAGAGAAGCAAGACCGCGAGGUGGAGCAAAACUCAGAAACAACGUCCCAGUUCGGACUGCAGGCUGCAACUCGCCUGCACGAAGUCGGAAUUGCUAGUAAUCGUGGAUCAGCAUGCCACGGUGAAUACGUUCCCGGGCCUUGCACACACCGCCCGUC
rnacentral:rRNA from 1 species